rnacentral:tRNA from 1 species
GGCGACAUCGCCAAGUGGUAAGGCAAUGGUCUGCAAAAUCAUUAUCCCCGGUUCGAAUCCGGGUGUCGCCUCCA